AAAAUCCGUUGGCUUUAUUGACCGUGAGGGUUCAAGUCCCUCUACCCCCAAAAUU
rnacentral:tRNA from 1 species